rnacentral:rRNA from 1 species
CUCGUAGGCGGUUCAACAAGUCGGUCGUGAAAGCCCGGGGCUCAACCCCGGGACGCCGGUCGAAACUGUUGUGACUAGGGUCCGGUAGAGGUGGGUGGAAUUCUCGGUGUAGCGGUGGAAUGCGCAGAUAUCGAGAGGAACACCAGUAGCGAAGGCGGCUCACUGGGCCGGUACCGACGCUGAGGAGCGAAAGCAUGGGGAGCAAACA